rnacentral:rRNA from 1 species
GAGAGUUUGAUCCUGGCUCAGAAUGAACGCUGGCGGCGUGCUUUACACAUGCAAGUCGAGCGAGGCGGGGAGCAAUCCCCAGUCGAGCGGCGGACGGGUGAGUAACGCGUGGGUGACCUACCUCUGGGUGGGGGAUAACCCGGGGAAACUCGGGCUAAUACCGCAUGACAUCUGAGGAUCAAAGGGGGCCGCAAGGCUUCCGCCUGGAGAGGGGCCCGCGUCCGAUUAGCUAGUUGGUGAGGUAAUGGCCCACCAAGGCGACGAUCGGUAGCCGGACUGAGAGGUUGAUCGGCCACACUGGAACUGAGACACGGUCCAGACUCCUACGGGAGGCAGCAGUGGGGAAUUUUGCGCAAUGGGCGAAAGCCUGACGCAGCAACGCCGCGUGGAGGAUGAAGGUCUUUGGAUUGUAAACUCCUGUCAGCAGGGAAAAAGCGAGCCGGUUUAAUACGCCGGUGAGUUGAUUGUACCUGCAGAGGAAGCCCCGGCUAACUCUGUGCCAGCAGCCGCGGUAAUACAGAGGGGGCGAGCGUUAUUCGGAAUUAUUGGGCGUAAAGGGCGCGUAGGCGGCUUCGCAAGUGGAUGGUGAAAUCCCUCGGCUCAACCGAGGAACUGCCGUCCAAACUGCGUGGCUUGAGUCCGGGAGAGGUGAGUGGAAUUCCCAGUGUAGCGGUGAAAUGCGUAGAUAUUGGGAGGAACACCAGUGGCGAAGGCGGCUCACUGGACCGGAACUGACGCUGAGGCGCGAAAGCGUGGGGAGCAAACGGGAUUAGAUACCCCGGUAGUCCACGCCGUAAACGAUGAGUGCUUGGUGUAGCGGGUAUCGACCCCUGCUGUGCCGAAGUCAACACAUUAAGCACUCCGCCUGGGGAGUACGGCCGCAAGGUUGAAACUCAAAGGAAUUGACGGGGGCCCGCACAAGCGGUGGAGCAUGUGGUUUAAUUCGACGCAACGCGAAGAACCUUACCAAGGCUUGACAUCUACAGAAUUCUGAGGAGACUUAGAAGUGCCCUUCGGGGAACUGUAAGACAGGUGGUGCAUGGUUGUCGUCAGCUCGUGUCGUGAGAUGUUGGGUUAAGUCCCGCAACGAGCGCAACCCUCAUCUUCAGUUGCCAGCGGUUCGGCCGGGCACUCUGAAGAAACUGCCGGUGACAAGCCGGAGGAAGGUGGGGAUGACGUCAAGUCCUCAUGGCCCUUACGGGCUGGGCUACACACGUGCUACAAUGGCGGUGACAAUGGGCGGCGACCCCGCGAGGGCGAGCCAAUCCCCAAAAGCCGUCUCAGUUCGGAUUGCACUCUGCAACUCGAGUGCAUGAAGUCGGAAUCGCUAGUAAUCGUGGAUCAGCACGCCACGGUGAAUACGUUCCCGGGCCUUGUACACACCGCCCGUCACACCAUGGGAGUUGGUUUUACCCGAAGCCGGUGCGCCAACCUUUAAGGAGGCAGCCGACCACGGUAAGGUCAGCGACUGGGGUGAAGUCGUAACAAGGUAGCCGUA